UAUAAGUUCUUAUACUCAAUCAUACACAUGACAUCAAUUUAUAUUCGACUCCAAAACACUAACCAAGCUUCUUCUUGCUUCUCAAAGCUUUGAUGGUUUAGCCGAAGUCCAUGUGAGUCUUUGUGUUUGUAUCUUCUAACAAGGAAACACUACUUAAGCUUUUAGGAUAAGAUUGCGGUUUAAGUUCUUAUACUCAAUCAUACACAUGACAUCAAGUCAUAUUCGACUCGAAAACACUAACCAAGCUUCUUCUUGCUUCUCAAAGCUUUGAUUGUUUAGCCAAAGUCCAUAUGAGUCUUUAUCUUUGUAUCUUUUAACAAGGAAACACUACUUAGGCUUUUAGGAUAAGGUUGCGGUUUAAGUUGUUAUACUCAAUCAUACAUAUGGCAUCAAGUCAUAUUCGACUCCAAAACACUAACCAAGCUUCUUCUUGCUUCUAAAAGCUUUGAUGGUUUAGCCAAAUUCCAUAUGAUUCUUUAUCUUUGUAUCUUCUAACAAGGAAACACUACUUAGGCUUUUAGGAUAAGGUUGCGGUUUAAGUUGUUAAUGUCAAUCAUACAUAUGGCAUCAAGUCAUAUUCGACUCCAAAACACUAACCAAGCUUCUUCUUGCUUCUAAAAGCUUUGAUGGUUUAGUCGAAGUCCAUAUGAGUCUUUGUCUUUGUAUCUUCUAACAAGGAAACACUACUUAGGCUUUUACGAUAAGGUAGUGGUUUAAGUUCUUAUACUCAAUCAUACACAUCACAUCAAGUCAUAUUCGACUCCAAAACAGUAACCAAGCUUCUUCUUGCUUCUCAAAACUUUGAUGGUUUAGCCGAAGUCCAUAUGAGUCUUUAUCUUUGUAUCUUCUAACAAGGAAACACUACUUAGGAUUUUAGGAUAUGGUUGCGGUUUAAGUCUUAUACUCAAUCAUACACAUGACAUCAAGUCAUAUUCGACUCCAGAACACUAACCAAGCUUCUUCUUGCUUCUAAAAGCUUUGAUGGUUUAGACGAAGUCCAUAUGAGUCUUUGUCUUUGUAUCUUCUAACAAGGAAACACUACUUAGGCUUUUAGGAUAAAAUUGCGGUUUAAAUUCUUAUACUCAAUAAUACACAUGACAUCAAGUCAUAUUCGACUCCAAAAAACUAACCAAGCUUCUUCUUGCUUCUCAAAGCUUUGAUGGUUUAGCCAAAUUCCAUAUGAGUCUUUACCUUUGUAUCUUCUAACAAGGAAACACUACUUAGGCUUUUAGGAUAAGGUUGCGGUUUAAGUUCUUAUACGCCAUCAUACACAUGACAUCAAGUCAUAUUCGACUCCAAAACACUAACCAAGCUUCUUCUUGCUUCUAAAAGCUUUGAUGGUUUAGUCGAAGUCCAUAUGAGUCUUUGUCUUUGUAUCUUCUAACAAGGAAACACUACUUAGGCUUUUAGGAUAUGGUUGCGGUUUAAGUUCUUAUACUCAAUCAUACACAUGACUUCAAGUCAUAUUCGACUCCAAAACACUAACCAAGCUUCUUCUGGCUUCUCAAAGCUUUGAUGGUUUUGCCGAAGUCCAUUUGAGUCUUUAUCGUUGUAACUUCUAACAAGGAGACACUACUUAGGCUUUGAC
rnacentral:sRNA from 1 species